rnacentral:rRNA from 1 species
ACUCGAGUGGCGAACGGGUGAGUAACACGUGGGUGAUCUGCCCUGCGCUUCGGGAUAAGCUUGGGAAACUGGGUCUAAUACCGGAUAGGAGCCAUCUUUAGUGUGGUGGUUGGAAAGUUUUUUCGGUGUAGGAUGAGCUCGCGGCCUAUCAGCUUGUUGGUGGGGUAAUGGCCUACCAAGGCGGCGACGGGUAGCCGGCCUGAGAGGGUGUACGGCCACAUUGGGACUGAGAUACGGCCCAGACUCCUACGGGAGGCAGCAGUGGGGAAUAUUGCACAAUGGGCGCAAGCCUGAUGCAGCGACGCCGCGUGGGGGAUGAAGGCCUUCGGGUUGUAAACUCCUUUCGCUAGGGACGAAGCUUUGUUGUGACGGUACCUAGAUAAGAAGCACCGGCUAACUACGUGCCAGCAGCCGCGGUAAUACGUAGGGUGCGAGCGUUGUCCGGAAUUACUGGGCGUAAAGGGCUCGUAGGUGGUUUGUCGCGUCGUCUGUGAAAUUCUGGGGCUUAACUCCGGGCGUGCAGGCGAUACGGGCAUAACUUGAGUGCUGUAGGGGUAACUGGAAUUCCUGGUGUAGCGGUGAAAUGCGCAGAUAUCAGGAGGAACACCGAUGGCGAAGGCAGGUUACUGGGCAGUUACUGACGCUGAGGAGCGAAAGCAUGGGUAGCGAACAGGAUUAG